UUAUGCUUACCAAGAGACAUGUUAAUGCAGCCUGCUAAUGUCUUAUAUUGACUACCCAUGUGUUCUUAAUUCCUAACCAAGAUGGUUCAGUGUAGGGUACACAUCUCAAACAUAUUGAAUAAUGAAGAGGAACAGCAACUUUGACCAAGAGGAGACACUUAUUUGUAAUGAUAUGUCACCCUACAAGUCUUCCAUUCAAGUCUGGAGGCACAAAAGAGAAGACUCUCCAUUGUUUCAGAGAGUAAUUGUCUCGUUGAAGAUAAGGAGCUUGGAUCAGGAAGGAUAGCUACUACUGGCGUUCUGCUGGAAAGGAGAUACGACCACGAAAGCAUGUGAUGGACAUCUAGGUUGUUUUCAGUUUCUGUCUCUUAUGAAUAAAGCUCCUAUGAACAGAGGUGAGCAAGUGGAACUUGGGGAAUCUGUGGAAGAGGAGGAGGAAGUAUUGUAAGAACCAGAAGGACAUCAUCAGUAAAUCUACAGAAUCCUGGGCCUAUCAGAGCUCACAAAGACUGAACUGCCAACCCAAACAUUUAAAAAAAGUAAUGGCAACAAGUCUAUAGCACAGAAACCUUGCUUCCCAAGGCAGCAGUGAGACAGAGAGACUGGAUCUGGAUCGUUCUUUUGAAAACUCCAAUCCUCCAAAUCCCCGUGAUCUAGAUGCGUCUGAAUUCAACCCAGCUCUGUUUAAAAUGUGCAACUGAAUAUCUUCCUGUGUAUGACACUCAUGAAGCCAGCACUACAAUCAAGAUAAUAAAAUCCAUCACCUGUAAA